rnacentral:rRNA from 1 species
AACGAACGCUGGCGGCACGCCCAACACAUGCAAGUCGAACGAGACCUUCGGGUCCAGUGGCGCACGGGUGCGUAACGAGAGGGAACAUGCCCUUAGGUUCGGAAUAACUCCCCGAAAGGGGUGCUAAUACCGGAUAAUGUCCCCGGACCAAAGAUCAACCGACCUUGGGUCGGCCCGCGUCGGAUUCGCCCGCUACUAGGGUAAAAGCUUACCAAGGCGACGAGCUAUAGCUGAUCUGAGAGGAUGAUCAGCCAGACGCGGACUAAGACACGGCCCGGACUCCUACGGGAGGCAGCAGUGGGGAAUAUUGGACAAUGGGCGAAAGCCUGAUCCAGCAGUGCCGGGUGAGUGAUGAAGGCCUUAGGAUUGUAAAGCUCUAUUACCCGGGAUGAUAAUGACAGUACCGUGAGAAGAAGCACCGGCUAACUCCGUG